CGAAGGGGGCUAGCGUUGCUCGGAAUUACUGGGCGUAAAGGGCGCGUAGGCGGACAGUUUAGUCAGAGGUGAAAGCCCAGGGCUCAACCUUGGAAUUGCCUUUGAUACUGGCUGUCUUGAGUUCGGGAGAGGUGAGUGGAAUGCCGAGUGUAGAGGUGAAAUUCGUAGAUAUUCGGCGGAACACCAGUGGCGAAGGCGACUCACUGGCCCGAUACUGACGCUGAGGCGCGAAAGCGUGGGGAGCAAACAGGAUUAGAUACCCUGGUAGUCCACGCUGUAAACGAUGAGUGCUAGUUGUCGGCAUGCAUGCAUGUCGGUGACGCAGCUAACGCAUUAAGCACUCCGCCUGGGGAGUACGGUCGCAAGAUUA
rnacentral:rRNA from 1 species